GGUCAAGCGAACAAGUGCAUGUGGUGGAUGCCUUGGCGAUCACAGGCGAUGAAGGACGCGGUAGCCUGCGAAAAGCCCCGGGGAGCUGGCAAACAAGCUUUGAUCCGGGGAUGUCCGAAUGGGGAAACCCACUCCUUAUGGAGUAUCCAUGACUGAAUACAUAGGUCAUGUGAAGCGAACGCGGUGAACUGAAACAUCUAAGUAACCGCAGGAAAAGAAAUCAACCGAGAUUCCCAAAGUAGUGGCGAGCGAAAUGGGAUGAGCCUUGUACUCUUUAUUUGUAUUGUUAGCCGAACGC
rnacentral:rRNA from 1 species